UCGAGAAUCAUUCGCAAUGGGCGCAAGCCUGACGAUGCGACGCCGUGUGUGCGAUGAAGGCCUUCGGGUUGUAAAGCACUUUCGCUUGGGAACAAGAGGAGCCGGCUAAAAUCCGGCGAAUUUGAGGGUACUAGGUAAAGAAGCACCGGCUAACUCCGUGCCAGCAGCUGCGGUAAUACGGAGGGUGCAAGCAUUAAUCGGAUUUAUUGGGCGUAAAGGGCGCGUAGGCGGGUAGGUAAGUCAGAUGUGAAAUCCCGGGGCUCAACCCCGGAACAGCAUUUGAAACUGCUUAUCUAGAGGGUAGGCGGAGAAAAUAGAAUUCCACAAGUAGCGGUGAAAUGCGUAGAUAUGUGGAAGAAUACCGGUGGCGAAGGCGAUUUUCUAGCUUAUACCUGACGCUGAGGCGCGAAAGCAAGGGGAUCAAACAGGAUUAGAUACCCCCGUAGUCC
rnacentral:rRNA from 1 species